CAGGAAAUCAACAUUCAAGGGGAGACCCAAUGAAGAAGAUAGUGCCAGAACUUAAUGGAGGCAGCCCAAGAGGAACGUGUACCUGGGGAAGUCAAGAGCUAUUUCUUGGACAUUUGUGCCUCUAUUCCAAACUCUUCUCUCAGAGUAGAUGACAACUCAGGAAGGAGCCAGAGAUCUUCCUCAGUUGACUUGUUCAGAAAUAUGAUUUGGGAUUCAGUCUGGCCCGAAGCCAUGCUUCCAGCCUCAUCUCCACUGUGCACUUUCCAUGGCGUUCUGUCUUGGUCCACUUGGCUUGUGUAGCUGCCUGGCCUGGGUUGUCCUCCCCACCCUUGUCUGCUUGGUGGCACUUGGCCCUGUUCUAAUUGCUUCUGCUCGGGCAGCUUCUCUCCUCCCUCCUCUGUGCUCUGAGCACACUGGACAGAUUCCUGUUAGAGCUGUCACUGUCUUCCUGCUGUCUGCCCACUGACCUUGGAGCUCCAGGAGGACAGGAGCCUUAUCUUACCCCAUGACAUGGCCUAUGCCCAGCCUGGUGCCAACGUGGUCUGGAGGUAUCUGUAGGCUGAAUGAAAUUCUUCCCUCUGGGAUGCCCUUUAAAGUUGUUUUCUUUCUGGAACCUGGGGCAGUGACUGGAAUGGUUGGAAUGUGGCCUUGGUUUGCCAUUGGGUGUUUUGUUCCUCCGAGCAUUGGCUGGACUCUCUGGUGAUUUCUGGUCUUGAAGGACUUCCUGUUUUAAAUGUCUGUGGGGUUGUGGUUCCCGAGCUGCUGCACUGUCUCCCAUAACCUUUCUCUCUAUCCUGGCCUGGUCUCUCUUCCACACCAGAACUUUCCUCUAGAUCAAUGGUCCAGGACCAUCAGAACCAGUGAACCACACUCCUGACCAUUCUCCAAAUAGUCAUUUGGCCAAAUACGAGCUCUUGUAAAUGAAGAAAUUAAAACUGCAAGUUGAAACUGAGUCACUGAUGGCGCCAGAUGUUUCUGGAGCAAAACUGGGAAAGAGGGUGAGCAUUGGAAAGACACCUCCUCCUGUUAUCUUCGAGAAGCCAUUUACUGGGAAAACAAAAACUGAGCUCCAUGAUGCAUAAAUUCCAAAAUGCAGAGGCCAAUUUCUUUCCCUUUGACCACAUGUCGGAAAGGCUCGGGGUUCAGUAACUGGAGGAGGCAGUGUUUAAUCCCAAUUUUACCAGUGAAGAAACUGAGGCUCAGAAAAACAAAGUGACUCCAAAUUCCUUGAGCACCUGGCCAGGGUCAGUCCCCACGGUGGCUGAGAUGGUUGACCAAUGGCCUCUGGGGAGAAGGCUAUGGGCACAGACACUGGUCCCUGGCUUGUUGGGAGGGAACAAGGAUGUCCAUCUGUCCUCCCUCAACACUGCCUCCUGGGGGACAAGGAAGAUGCCCAGAGUGAGUGGGCAGGGUGGGCGAUGGACUCAUACCCUGCCUUGGUGUCUCUGUGGCUCCUGGAAGAUCCUUGCAAGCAGCGGUGAGCACUGUGACUUGAGCCCUGCGGUGGUGGCUUGCCAUGUGGCCAGUCAAGGUGGACGAUGGACUCAUAUGCUGCCUGGGUGUCUCUGUGACUCUUGGGAGAUCCUUGCUGGCAGCGGUGAGCACUGUGACUUCAGCCCUGCAGUGGUAGCUGGUCACAUGGCCAGUCAAGGCUCAGUCUUCUUAGUAAUCAAAGGACUGAAAGUGUCCAGUAGCUUUGGAUGAUGGUUGAGGACUCGUUAAUAAAGACCACUGCCCUAUGGGAAUGCGUUAUACUCUCUGGAAUGAGCCGUGCAGGUGGGCUCAGAGAACAUACCAUUUGCACACUCAUAACAAUGUAAAAGUAUGAAAGUAAAAGUCAUAUGAAAUCCUCCUGUGCAGAGCUAGUUAAUGUUGGGUGACUGUCACUCCAGGCAUCUGUCUUUGCACUUGCAAGAGGGAUAACAUGUAGGUAAAUAGGAAAACACUGUACAGUAUAUGCUAUCCUUUACUUACUUUAGUCAAUGGUAUAUCAACAAACAUAAAUCUAUAUCAUUUUAACUGCAUCUGAUUCCAUUGUAUGAAUGUACCUUACUUUAUUUAAUCAGUAGGCUUCUGAUUGCAAUUUGCAUUGGGUUUUGCAUUUCAGCCAUCUUUCGUGAUCCUUAAA
rnacentral:lncRNA from 1 species